UGAAAUGAUCCCCCUUAAAGGGGGCUCAAUAUGUCUCAAUCUGCACUCCAUUUCACUCAAAGCAUUUGGGUAUAAGGACAGACUCCAGAAACGCAUUAAUUAAAGGGCGAUGUCUCCGACACAGACUUACACAAUGCUCUUCCCGACGAAGACGACCAAACGCGAUAGCAAGGACACGAAGCCUUGCACGGAGGUCCGACGGAGAAUCGCAGGCUAUAGGACCUUUAUGACCUGGCGUAUCAGGGAGGAGCUAAUUGAAAGGACGACAUGGCCUGGAGUACCAUUAAAGCUACAUAAAGCGUCUCCGCCAGCAGCAGCUGCCCAAUACUGGCGUGAUCCCCUAAAAGAUCACACACGCUUUCGCACACCAUGUCCGGAGUGAUCAAUGGUGAGGGAUUAUUAUUAUUUUUUUUUGUUACCUUGAACCAGCGGUGAACUCGGGAGCCGUGAGAGCCUCUCGCACUGGUCCCAGCUCCAGGGUCAGCAACAGUGCGUCUCCAAGCAGAUAUGCAAACGAGCCGGGCCCCUGCAGUGACCCCUGCGGGGGAUCCGCCCUCACCGACGACAUUGCCUCCGACGAGAGCUCGCGAGCGCGCUUGACUAAUGGGCUUUUAUUACAGCACCACGCCAGCUCUUGAUUGCCAAGAUGUGCGGAGUGCAAUUGAAGGUGCACACGCGGAUUCCGCUUGCUUGCACCGACAUGCGCAGAAGGCGGGAGGGCGGCCAGGCCUCGGCUCAGACCCCACCACGCCCACGGGACGUGGGGCGACGCACUUCUCCUUAUAUUUCUAUGGGCAGAUUGGAGUCUUACACAGAGGAAAAACAGAUGACAGACUCCGCGUUGUGCUGUUUGUCAUAAGCUGCUGCCUGUCAGGGAGAUACAGCUGAUAUAUUUUAGGCUUCUAAACACAUUAUUAAUGCCAAAGUAAAAAAUAAUUACGAUAUAAUUAGUGGAAGGAAUAUAAGUAAUGUCAGUAAGGCUUUGUUUCACUCUUAACAAUACAGAAAAACUGAUCUCAAAUAAAACGUUUUUUAAGCUUUU